AGAUGGCCAAGGAAAGCAGGAAGAACUACUCUUACACUCCCUUCUGGUCUUUUUUUCUAUAUAUAGAUGAUAGAGGUACUGACAACAACUGACUCCCAGAAACUGCUACACCAGCUGAAUGCCCUGUUGGAACAGGAGUCUAGAUGUCAGCCAAAGGUCUGUGGUUUGAGACUAAUUGAGUCUGCACACGAUAAUGGCCUCAGAAUGACUGCAAGACUAAGGGACUUUGAAGUGAAAGAUCUUCUUAGUCUAACUCAGUUCUUUGGCUUCGACACAGAGACGUUUUCUCUAGCUGUGAAUUUACUGGACAGAUUCCUGUCUAAAAUGAAGGUACAGCCCAAGCACCUUGGGUGUGUUGGACUGAGCUGCUUCUAUUUGGCUGUAAAAUCAAUAGAAGAGGAAAGGAAUGUCCCAUUGGCAACUGACUUGAUCCGAAUAAGUCAAUAUAGGUUUACGGUUUCAGACUUGAUGAGAAUGGAAAAGAUUGUAUUGGAGAAGGUGUGUUGGAAAGUCAAAGCUACUACUGCCUUUCAAUUUCUG
rnacentral:sRNA from 1 species